rnacentral:sRNA from 1 species
CCUGCGCGUGGCACGCCACUUCCAGUGCACAGACCCCAAAAACUGCAGUGUGGUGAGUCGCCAGCUCCCUGGGCUGCUACCAAACACGGCCCUAACUCCUCCAACCCCCUUGGUGGGCAUGUGUUCACUGUGGCAGGAGCUGACUCCAGACUAUAGCAUGGAGAGCCACCAGCGGGACCACGAGAACUACGUGGCGUGUUCACGCAGCCACCGGCGCCGAGCCAAGGCCCUGCUGGACUUUGAGCGGCACGACGAUGACGAGCUGGGCUUCCGCAAGAACGACAUCAUCACAAUCGUGUCUCAGAAGGACGAGCACUGCUGGGUGGGGGAGCUCAACGGCCUACGAGGCUGGUUUCCAGCCAAGUUCGUGGAAGUCCUGGAUGAGCGCAGCAAAGAGUACUCCAUCGCGGGGGACGACUCGGUGACGGAGGGCGUCACAGACCUCGUGCGAGGGACCCUCUGCCCGGCCCUUAAGGCCCUGUUCGAACAUGGACUGAAGAAGCCAUCCCUGCUUGGGGGCGCCUGCCACCCCUGGCUGUUUAUCGAGGAGGCUGCAGGCCGGGAGGUCGAGAGAGACUUUGCCUCCGUGUAUUCCCGCCUGGUGCUCUGUAAGACCUUCAGGUUGGAUGAAGAUGGCAAGGUCCUGACCCCGGAGGAGCUGCUCUACCGGGCUGUGCAGUCUGUGAACGUGACCCACGAUGCAGUGCACGCACAAAUGGAUGUGAAGCUCCGCUCACUGAUCUGCGUGGGGCUCAAGUGAGUGUGGAAAAGGGGUUGGAGGAGGCCCUGGAGUGGGGGGACCCAGCCCAGCAUCAGGGGGGUCCUUACAGGGAACCCUAAAGGACAAAGAAC